UACGGAGGGGGCUAGCGUUGUUCGGAAUUACUGGGCGUAAAGCGCACGUAGGCGGCUUUGUAAGUUAGAGGUGAAAGCCCGGGGCUCAACUCCGGAAUUGCCUUUAAGACUGCAUCGCUAGAAUUGUGGAGAGGUAAGUGGAAUUCCGAGUGUAGAGGUGAAAUUCGUAGAUAUUCGGGAGAACACCAGUGGCGAAGGCGACUUACUGGACACAUAUUGACGCUGAGGUGCAAAAGCGUGGGGAGCAAACAGG
rnacentral:rRNA from 1 species